rnacentral:tRNA from 1 species
GAGAGACUAGUUAACUAAUAACACCGCUUUGUCAAAGCGGAGUAAUGAAUUAAAAUUUCAUGCCCCUCC